CGUGGGGAACCUGCCGUAUGCAGGGGGACAACAGUCAGAAAUGACUGCUAAUACCGCAUAAGCACACAAUGCUGCAUGGCAUGGUGUGAAAAGAUUUAUCGGCAUACGAUGGCCCCGCGUCUGAUUAGCCAGUUGGCAGGGUAACGGCCUACCAAAGCAACGAUCAGUAGCCGGCUUGAGAGAGUGACCGGCCACAUUGGGACUGAGACACGGCCCAGACUCCUACGGGAGGCAGCAG
rnacentral:rRNA from 1 species